GGGGGAUUUUGGUGGAAAUUAGAACUAGGGUUUUAGAGAUUUAGGGUUAGGGCUUUUAAGGAUUUAAGGUUUUGAGAACUAGGGUUUGGAAAACUAGGAUUUUGAGAACUAGGUUUGGAUGGAUUAGGAUUUGUGGAAAGAAGAAGAAUGAAUGUUUUAAAGAAGAAGAAAGAAGAAAAAGAAAGAAGGGUGGGUUGUAGAGAUGGAGAAGAAGAAAUACCUUGAAGAGAAGGAAAAAAAAAAGAUGAUAUUGUUGAGAAGAGAGAAGUGAAAAAAUAACUAGGGAAUCACUCCCUAUGGUUUCGCAUGACCAAUCCAAUUAUAGGAUGAUUUUAGUUUAUUUUUUAUUUUUAUUUUUUUGCUCAAUUUCAAAGUAAAAGGAGAGAAAUCUCUUUCAUUCAUAACAUGCAUAUUGACUAGGGUGGGGACGUCCAACCCUUUAUAGUCUCAGAAAAGAAAUAUUGUUCAUGCAUAUAUAAAGUUUUCUAUUUUUUUACUUUAGCUUCUUUUUUCACUGUUUUUUAAAGUCUAAACCGUAUUAAACCUGAACUUUUCAUUCUCUAAAAUUUUGGUGUAUCCGAUUUCUUGACUGAAUUUUUUACUGUAUUUUUAACAAUCAAGACCGGAUUAAACGUGAACAUUUCUCGUAUCUGUUUUUUUUUUUUUUGGUUCUAUGCCAUUUUGCUAAAAUAUGGCUGAUCCAAAUCGUUGCCACCCCUAGCUCCCACUAACCUUGAUACAAAAUUACAGAUCGAUUUCUAUUAUGAGGGAUUGAGAGAACAAUUGCUGCCCCAAUAACUGCUUCAAUGUCUUUUUAAUAGAUAUAACAAAGAUAGAGCAAAUGUCUAAUUUUGAUUGGCAAGAAUCAAAUAAAUUAGAAAAUGUUGUGAGAUUUAUAUUGAACACAUUCAAUAGCCAUGAACCCCACACCAAAUUGUUGUGGCGCAAUUGGCACAUCUUUGGAUUUUGCAUGUCCUAAUAUCAUGUCGAUCCUGACAUUUAAGAUGUUCAGAGUUACAGAUAUCGCAAUUCCUAUUGAUUCCUUGUAGCCUUAAUUGCAAACUAAUAUAUUGAUUUUUAGGCAAAAUUUUUGCUGUUGGCGGUGGUGCCCUUAUCCAGGAAGCAUAGGAUUCUUUUUUUUUUUGUUUUUGUUUUUUCUUUUAAGUUUAUACAGAUUUCUGAGGGAACUCUCUUCAUUAUUUUUAUAAAAUACUAUCCGGAUGAUUCAAUCUUUUAUUGAGGCAUGUUAUUUAUGCAGUGCUUUGGAUCUUUUUGCCAUCAUUUCCUGUUACAAUUUUUGUUUGUAAUUCACGAAGCUUUUGAUUUUUGUAGGAAAAGAUAUCCAAGAAGUUUGAUAAAGUUUUGUUGGAUGCUCCUUGUUCUGGAUUGGGUGUCCUCUCCAAGUAAUUGUUCAUGUGCUUGCUUCUAAGAUGCUUUGAUUGGUAAUGGAGAUUAGAGGAUUUGGAACAGUUGACAAAUUUACAAGAUGAGCUCCUUGAUGCAGCUUCAUUAUUAGUGAAGCCUGGAGGGACACCAGUUUAUAGUACUU